UCAAGCAAAUAAGAGCAUAAGGCGGAUGCCUUGGCACUGGGAGCCGAAGAAGGACGUGACAAGCUGCGAUAAGCCACGGGGAGGAGCAAAUAUCUAUAGAUCCGUGGAUUUCCGAAUGCGGGAACGCACCUACAGUAAUAUGUAGGUAUCCUUAGCUAAAAACAUAGGCUAAGAGAAGGUAACGGGGUGAACUGAAACAUCUAAGUAACCCUAGGAAGAGAAAGAAACAUCGAUUUUCUAAGUAGCGGCGAGCGAAAGGGAAAGAGCCCAAACCAUGUUUAGGCAUGGGGUUGUGGACCACCAAAGAGGAAGGUUUAUAUAUAGUCAAAUGGCUCUGGAAAGGUCAGGCGAAGAGAGUGAAACCCUCGUAGACGAAAUAUAUAAACUACCAAGGUGGCACCAGAGUAGGUCCGGGCACGUGAAACCCGGAUUGAAGCAGGGGGGCCCACCCCCCAAGGCUAAAUACUACCCAGUGACCGAUAGCGAAUAGUACCGUGAGGGAAAGGUGAAAAGAACCCCGGGAGGGGAGUGAAAUAGAACCUGAAACCUUAUGCUUACAAGCAGUGGGAGCUAAAGUGACCACGUACUUUUUGUAGAACGGGCCAACGAGUUAUGGUGUGUAGCAAGGUUAAGGUGCUGGAGCACCGGAGCCGUAGCGAAAGCGAGUCUUAAUAGGGCAAAAGUUACAUGCUGUAGACCCGAAACCGGGUGACCUAUCCAUGUGCAGGUUGAAGCGAGAGUAAAAUCUCGUGGAGGACCGAACCCAUAUCCGUUGAAAAGGGUUGGGAUGACGUGUGGAUAGCGGUGAAAUUCCAAUCGAACUCGGAGAUAGCUGGUUCUCCUCGAAAUAGCUUUAGGGCUAGCCUCAAGGAAAAGAUACACGGAGGUAGAGCACUGAAUGUUCUAGGGGCCUUCACCGGUUACCGAAAACUAUCAAACUCCGAAUGCCGUGCAAUCAUACUUGGGAGUCAGACUAUGGGAGAUAAGUUUCAUGGUCGAAAGGGAAACAGCCCAGACCCACAGCUAAGGUCCCAAAAUGUAAGUUAAGUGGAAAAGGAUGUGAAGUUGCAUAAACAGCUAGGAUGUUGGCUUAGAAGCAGCCACUCAUUUAAAGAGUGCGUAAUAGCUCACUAGUCGAGUGACUUUGCGCCGAAGAUAAACGGGGCUAAACUUACUACCGAAGCUUGGGAACUAGAAAUAGUUGGUAGAGGAGCAUCCUGUGAAGGCUGAAGCCAACCUGGAAGGGUUGGUGGACAACACAGGAGAGAGAAUGUUGGCAUGAGUAGCGAGAGGCAGGUGAGAAUCCUGCCCGCCGAAAAUCUAAGGUUUCCUGAGGAAGGUUCGUCCACUCAGGGUUAGUCGGGGCCUAAGCCGAGAGCGAACGCUGUAGGCGAUGGACAACUGGUAGAUAUUCCAGUACCACCGAAUGUCGUUAUAAGUGAAGUGGGGACACAGAAGGAUAGGUUGAGCGCACCGUUGGUAGAGUGCGUCCAAGCGUUAAGGGAGCUGAAGCAGGCAAAUCCGCAUCAGCAAUUCUGAGGCGUUACGGGGAGUCUAAAAAGACGGAAGCAACUGAUUUCAUACUGUCAAGAAAAGCCGCUAGCAAGACACUAGGUGCCCGUACCGCAAACCGACACAGGUAGAUGAGGAGAGAAUCCUAAGGCGAGCGAGAGAACUAUUGUUAAGGAACUCGGCAAAAUUACCCCGUAACUUCGGGAGAAGGGGUGCCUGCGAAGAGCAGGCCGCAGUGAAUAGGCCCAGGCGACUGUUUACCAAAAACACAGGUCUCUGCUAAAGCGAAAGCUGAAGUAUAGGGGCUGACGCCUGCCCGGUGCUGGAAGGUUAAGGGGAAUGCUUAGCGCAAGCGAAGGUGUGAACUUAAGCCCCAGUAAACGGCGGCCGUAACUAUAACGGUCCUAAGGUAGCGAAAUUCCUUGUCGGGU
rnacentral:rRNA from 1 species